UACGAGGGGGGCGAGCGUUGUUCGGAAUUAUUGGGCGUAAAGAGCUCGUAGGCGGUUUGUCGCGUCGGCCGUGAAAUCUCCACGCUUAACGUGGAGCGUGCGGUCGAUACGGGCAGACUUGAGUUCGGUAGGGGAGACUGGAAUUCCUGGUGUAGCGGUGAAAUGCGCAGAUAUCAGGAGGAACACCGGUGGCGAAGGCGGGUCUCUGGGCCGAUACUGACGCUGAGGAGCGAAAGCGUGGGGAGCGAACAGG
rnacentral:rRNA from 1 species